rnacentral:rRNA from 3 species
ACAGGGAUUGCCCUAGUAACGGCGAGUGAAGCGGCAACAGCUCAAAUUUGAAAUCUGGCUCUUUUAGAGUCCGAGUUGUAAUUUGCAGAGGGCGCUUUGGCUUUGGCAGCGGUCCAAGUUCCUUGGAACAGGACGUCACAGAGGGUGAGAAUCCCGUACGUGGUCGCUGGCUAUUGCCGUGUAAAGCCCCUUCGACGAGUCGAGUUGUUUGGGAAUGCAGCUCUAAAUGGGAGGUACAAUUCUUCUAAAGCUAAAUAUUGGCCAGAGACCGAUAGCGCACAAGUAGAGUGAUCGAAAGAUGAAAAGCACUUUGGAAAGAGAGUCAAACAGCACGUGAAAUUGUUGAAAGGGAAGCGCUUGCAGCCAGACUUGCUUGCAGUUGCUCAUCCGGGCUUUUGCCCGGUGCACUCUUCUGUAGGCAGGCCAGCAUCAGUUCGGGCGGAAAGAUAAAGGUCUCUGUCACGUACCUCCUUUCGGGGAGGCCUUAUAGGGGAGACGACAUAUUUCCAGCCUGGACUGAGGUCCGCGCAUCUGCUAGGAUGCUGGCGUAAUGGCUGUAAGCGGCCCGUCUUGAAACACGGACCAAGGAGUCUAACAUCUAUGCGAGUGUUUGGGUGUCAAGCCCGAGCGCGUAAUGAAAGUGAACGGAGGUGGGAACCCGCAAGGGUGCACCAUCGACCGAUCCUGAUGUCUUCGGAAGGAUUUGAGUAAGAGCAUGGCUGUUGGGACCCGAAAGAUGGUGAACUAUGCUUGAAUAGGGUGAAGCCAGAGGAAACUCUGGUGGAGGCUCGCAGCGGUUCUGACGUGCAAAUCGAUCGUCAAAUUUGGGCAUAGGGGCGAAAGACUAAU